GAUGAACGCUGGCGGCGUGCCUAAUACAUGCAAGUCGAACGCACAGCGAAAGGUGCUUGCACCUUUCAAGUGAGUGGCGAACGGGUGAGUAACACGUGGACAACCUGCCUCAAGGCUGGGGAUAACAUUUGGAAACAGAUGCUAAUACCGAAUAAACUUAGUGUCGCAUGACACAAGUUAAAGGCGCUUGGCGUCACCUAAGAUGGAUCCGCGGUGUACG
rnacentral:rRNA from 1 species